rnacentral:rRNA from 1 species
UACGUAGGGUGCAAGCGUUGUCCGGAAUUAUUGGGCGUAAAGGGCUCGUAGGCGGUUUGUCGCGUCGGGAGUGAAAUCCACUGGCUUAACUGGUGGCUUGCUUUCGAUACGGGCAGACUGGAGGUAUGCAGGGGAGAACGGAAUUCCUGGUGUAGCGGUGAAAUGCGCAGAUAUCAGGAGGAACACCGGUGGCGAAGGCGGUUCUCUGGGCACGUCCUGACGCUGAGGAGCGAAAGUGUGGGGAGCGAACAGG